rnacentral:ncRNA from 1 species
UGUCCCUAGUACGAGAGGACCGGGAUGGACGAACCUCUGGUGUACCAGUUGUGGCGCCAGCCGCAUCGCUGGGUAGCCAAGUUCGGAAGGGAUAACCGCUGAAGGCAUAUAAGCGGGAAGCCUCCCCCAAGAUGAGAUAUCCCUCCCUGAUGGCAACAUCAGGGGUAAGACCCCAGGGAGACCACCUGGUUGAUAGGCCGGAUGUGUAAGUCCAGUAAUGGACUCAGCUAACCGGUACUAAUCGGUCGAGAGGCUUGAUCUC